rnacentral:rRNA from 1 species
CGUAGGUGGCAAGCGUUGUCCGGAAUUAUUGGGCGUAAAGCGCGCGCAGGCGGCUUCUUAAGUCCAUCUUAAAAGUGCGGGGCUUAACCCCGUGAUGGGAUGGAAACUGAGAGGCUGGAGUAUCGGAGAGGAAAGUGGAAUUCCUAGUGUAGCGGUGAAAUGCGUAGAGAUUAGGAAGAACACCGGUGGCGAAGGCGACUUUCUGGACGACAACUGACGCUGAGGCGCGAAAGCGUGGGGACAA